ensembl:lncRNA
UAGAUUCCUCUUCUUUUGGACAUGACUGCUUGUAUUUUUCUCAUUUAUAACAUUUAUAUUUUUAAAAUUAUUCAACUUUUUUCAACAAAAAUUUCCCAUGUAUUUCAAUGGGGAGACCCUUCAAAUUCUCCUUCAACUUACUCCUCUUUAAACUGUAUCUACUUCCACAUACGUUGAUGUAGAUCCACCAUUCAAACUUUAAAACGAAGACAAGACAUUCAACUAUUCAACUUGUAUUUAUCUUUUCAAUAUCUAUUAUACUUUUUCUUCAGUUCCAGUUUAAGUUUCAUGAUGAUUUUUCAGCCCUUUCAGAGUUUAUAAUGGGUGUGUAUGGGACGGAAUGUUGGGGCUAGAGUGAGACAGCUCAACUCCCAGAGUGAGAGGAGCGAAAAAAUUAAUCUUAAAAUAUUUUUUAAAACUGCUGCUGUGUCCGCAGCGUUUGAUCUACAGGGAUGAUUUUACCCUCAAAACGUAGCCAUCGCUGUCCUCUUUCAUCCAGUGUGUUUACUAUUGUACUAGGUGUUAUGGUUCUGUCAUAAAUGUCACCAAUGCACAGCCUCCUCCCUCCAACUCCUCCAUAGACUCUAAUGUUAAAAUGGCUCAGAAGGUUCGUUUGAAAACCAGAAGUACAGGCUGUCUUUACACUGUAACCACGUCCAUAUAAUAAACUCCACAGGCAUGAAAACUGAGAAUUAGGUAGACUGGACAUUGCUGCCGCUCACGGUGAAAGAAUUAUGUCAAUACGACCUGUACUUUUCAUUUGGGAACGAUUUGUUUCGACCUGACUUUUCUGUUCAUUUUAAGCAGCAAAAGUGAGGUGCAUGUCUGUGUGCGUGUGUAUGGAGCCAUUGGGUGCAGUCACUAUAGCAACCAGGCUCACACCUGCCUGCCUAACGAGCUCUGUCUCUCACUGUGCCAAGAUUAAUCUUAAACACUUCUCUUUCAACUGCUGCUGUGUCCACAGUGUUUGCUCUACAGCCAUCAUUUUACCCUCAAAACGUCGCCAUCGUUCUUCUCUUUCCAACAGUGUGUCUUUCAGAGCUCAGAGAUGUAAACCUUGUAAACUGUGUGGAUCCAAGUGGAGGGAUCACAUUUUAAGUCAUUCAGUGAUUCAAAGAAUAUGAACUUUUAAUAUUCAUUCAGAUGUUUUCUGACUCUAAAUUUUCUUUUCUCAUUUCUUAGGUUCUUUGAAUUUUAAUUUAAAAACUUUUCAGCUAUUUUCCAACUUCUUCUGUGUGAUUGUCAGCUUUUAGCAGUUCAGCACUUUUGUUUUCAGUUUAAAAAUUCAUUUUUUU